rnacentral:lncRNA from 10 species
AAGAAACAUUAUUAAAUAUAAAAUGGUGUUUAGCUUUCUUUGGUCUAAAAACUAAUAAAAAUUGGUGCUAAGGGAAACAUUCAUUUUACUAGAGGAACAUAAAAGUUAAAGACUUAAAACAAACUUUGGCAAUUAAGACAACAUACCAAGAUGCAAAUGCCUGGUUGAAAUGGAUCAAAUAUUCCAUCUGCAUGUUAAACAAAAGCAAUUGUUAUGCUUGUGCACAUGGCAGGCCAGAGGCCCAGAUUGUCUCCCUUCCACUAAGGUGGUCCUCCAGUCGACCAGGUGUGGGCUGCAUGGUAGCUCUUUUCCAGGAUUCUACAUCCUGGAGUAGUAAGUCAUGUGAAGCUCUCUCUGCUAUAUCCCGAAGUCCCUGAAGGUCAGCCCCUGAGGGCCAUCCAGCUUCCAUCUCCCAACACUAAGUUCACUUCCUGUCUCUCACGGCAGGGAGGAAACUUAGCAUUCCUUGGAGACCUAAAGGGAUGCGGUGAGCUUAAGAAUUUUCAAGAGCUUAUCAAUCAGUCAGCCCUUGUUCAUCCCUGUGCAGAUGUGUGAUGGUAUUGUGGGGGACCUUUACUGGGCACUCUGCCAAAUAACUAGAGUGGCACUUGUGCUUUAGUCCAUUUGACUAUCCCUUUCACCCUGUCAUUUCAUCUACCAGAGGAAGGAAAAAUAAUAAUAAUAAGACAUCGUAAAGUGAGAGAAGCCCCUUAUAGGUCUUUCAACUCUCGCAUUUAUUUAGAUGCAAUUGAAGCCCCCAGGGAAUACCAGAUCAAUUUAAAGCUUCAAAUCAAACAGUUACAAGGUUUAAGUCAAUAUUUUGGUAGAUGACAGUCAAUAAAAUGUAGAUUAGAUAAACUAUAUCUAUUACAACCAAUAGCAAUGGGCUUUUCAUGAGUUAAAAAGAAAAACUCAUGUUGGCCCCAGCCCUGAGGCUACCUGACCUGACAAAACUCUUUACACCCUAUGUGUCAAAAAAAAAAAAAAAAAAGGCAGUUGUAGUUUUAACCCAGACUAUAGGGCCCUGGCCAAGGCCAGUGGCCUAUCUCUCGAAACAACUAGACGGGGUUUCCAAAGGCUGACCCCCUUGUCCAAGGGCCCUGGUAGCAACAGCCCUGUUAGCACAAGAAGCAGAUAAGCUAACUCUUAGCCAAAACCUACACGUAAAGUCCCCCUAUGCUGUGGUGAUUUUAAUAAAAACCAAAGGACACCAUUAGCUAAUGAAUGCUAGACUAACUAGAUACCAAAGCUUGCUCUGUGAAAAUCCCCACAUAAGAACUGAAGUUUGCAACACCCUAAACCCCACCACCUUGCUCCCAGUGUCAGAGAGCCCAGUUAAACAUAACUGUGUAGAAGUAUUGGACUCAGUUUAUUCUAGUGGGCCCAACCUCUGAGACCAUCCUUAAACAUCAGUAGACUGGGAGCUGUACGUGGAUGGGAGCAGCUUCGCCAACCCCUGCAAAGUGACUCUAAAGAAGAUGACAAGCCCUGCUCCAGUCACACCCAGAAGCUGACUGGUCCAUGCACAGCCGAAGCAUGAGGAAACUCAUCGCGGGACUCAUUUUCCUUAAAAUUUGGACUUGUACAGUAAGGACUUCAACUGACCUUCCUCAGACUGAGGGCUGUUCCCAGUACAUACAUCAAGUCACUGAGGAAUCCUUCUUGGCACUGGGAAUACAGAGGUGAUGGGCAGGAAAAUUCCCUGAUUUUAUAGAGCUUAAAUUCUUGUAGGAGAGACAGACAAUAACAAAAGAAGACUGACUGAGAUGUGUUGGCGGGCUUCUCAAGAUCCCUAUCGAUGGCAGAAUGCUGACAUGAGUUGCCCAUAGUCCAGAACCCAUGAACCCAGUCUAAUCAUGACAGAAACAUUAGACAAAGCCAAAAUGAAGACAUUCUACAAAGUACCUAACUAGUAUUCUUCAAAAGUGUCAAAGUCAUGAAAAACAAAGCAGUCCUGACAAACUGGAGGAAACUAAGGAGACAUCACUACUACCCAGUGAAACAUGAUAUCUUGGAUUCAGUUCUGGACAUUAGUAAAAAAAUAAAAAAUAGGCCAAGCGCAGUGGCUCAUGCCUGUAAUCCCAGGACUUUGGGAGGCCGAGGACGGCGGAUCACGAGGUCAGGAGAUCGAGACCAUCCUGGCUACCACUGUGAAACACCGUCUCUACUAAAAAUACAAAAAAAAAAAAAAAAAAAAUUAGCUGGGCGUGGUGGCAGGCACCUGUAGUGCCAGCUACUCGGGAGGCUGAGGCAGGAUAAUGGCGUGAACCUGGGAGGCGAGCUUGCAGUGAGCAGAGAUCGCGCCACCGCACUCCAGCCUGGGCGACAAAGCGAGACUCCAUCUCAAAAAUAAAUAAAUAAAAUAAAAAAUAAAAAUAAAACUUAUGAAUGAGUUAUUAAUAGCAAUGUACCAAUGCUAAUUCUUAGUAUGGACAAAAGCACCAUGGUUAUAUAAAAGGCUGACAUUAGGGAAAACUAAGUAAAAAAUAUGUGAGAACUCUAUUAUUCCAACAACUUUUCUAUCUAUCUAAGAUUAUUUUAAAAUAAAAUUUUUAAAAAUCUAGUGUGGGUUUCAAGGGCUUAAGAUGAAAUUAAUGAAGUGUUCAAUUAUAGCUUUAUUGAGUCAGCUAAGGAAGACUCGAGGGUGUUGAACUAUAGUUUCUUUUUUUUAUAAUAAUAAAAUUUUUAUGGUUUAGUGUUAAAAUCUCAUUGAUAUACAAUCAUGAUCAUAUAGAAAGUAACUUCACAUUUUUCCUGUGCCUAUAUUUCUAAAACUCACAUUAAUAUCUUUAUUUAAAUAGAAAUGUAAUAAGAUAUUGCAUUUCUAUUCAAAUAAAUGAAUGACCAUGAAUGAAAGUAAAAUCCAGGAAUAUUGAUGUAGACUACUUUUUGUCAUUGCCAGAUCACAAAAUGAUAUACAUCAUCAGUCAUAAUCAUAUACGCAUUUUUUGUUGUAGACCAAAAAAAUAAAAUUUAAAACUGAUCUUAAAGGUUAUUUUACUAAUAUGCAGAAAUCUAUUUCUGGGUUUCUUUUUUAUCUUUUAUUUUAGGUUUAUGGGUACAUUUGAGGUUUGUUACAAACUACGGGUCAUGGGGGUUUCGUGUAGAUUAUUUUGUCACCCAGGUAAUAAGCAUAGUACCUGACAAGCAGAUUUAUUGAGCAUUUAGUAGGUAAAGAGCACUGUGCUAGGUUCUCGGAUGGAAAAUUACAACGUCUACCUGUUAUAGUCCUUGAGGGACCUCAAC